rnacentral:rRNA from 1 species
AAACCAACCGGGAUUGCCUCAGUAACGGCGAGUGAAGCGGCAAAAGCUCAAAUUUGAAAUCUGGCUCCUUACGGGGGUCCGAGUUGUAAUUUGAAGAAGCGACUUUGGUGUGGGCUCUUGUCUAUGUUCCUUGGAACAGGACGUCACAGAGGGUGAGAAUCCCGUGCGAUGAGAAGCCCAUUGCCGUGUAAAGCGUUUUCGACGAGUCGAGUUGUUUGGGAAUGCAGCUCUAAGUGGGUGGUAAAUUCCAUCUAAAGCUAAAUAUUGGCGAGAGACCGAUAGCGAACAAGUACAGUGAUGGAAAGAUGAAAAGAACUUUGAAAAGAGAGUGAAAAAGUACGUGAAAUUGUUGAAAGGGAAGGGCUUGAGAUCAGACUUUGUUUUUCCAUGGUGUUCUUUCGGGGAUGCCCUCUGGGUCUACAGGGCCAGCAUGGGUUCUGCGGGCGAGACAAUAGCGCAGGAAUGUGGCUCUGCUUCGGUGGAGUGUUAUAGCCUGUGCAGAUGUCGCCACGCGGGACCGAGGACUGCGGUACUAGGAUGCUGGCAUAAUGAUCUUAAGCCGC